CCACAUUCUUCUUUAAUCUCCCUGUGUCUCCUUUUAUUUUUAUCCAACAUCCCUACAAUAUAUCUUAUAUCUCUUUUAACAGUCUCGUAGAAUUAAAUCAUGGUUUUUGCGUUUUUCUGUAUAGCGCUAUAACAUUUUAUCACCUAUCAACUAAUCUGUGAAUCAUGUUCUUCCGUUUAAUUUAUAUACUAAAUUUUCUGUGGUAUAGUGCAU